CCCAGACUCCUACGGGAGGCAGCAGUGGGGAAUAUUGCACAAUGGGGGGAACCCUGAUGCAGCGACGCCGCGUGGGUGAAGGAGUACUUCGGUACGUAAAGCCCUAUCAGCAGGAAAGAAAAUGACGGUACCUGACUAAGAAGCCCCGGCUAACUACGUGCCAGCAGCCGCGGUAAUACGUAGGGGGCAAGCGUUAUCCGGAUUUACUGGGUGUAAAGGGAGCGUAGGCGGCCUGCCAAGUCUGAUGUGAAAUACCGGGGCUCAACCCCGGGGCUGCAUUGGAAACUGGCAGGCUGGAGUGCCGGAGAGGCAGGCGGAAUUCCUAGUGUAGCGGUGAAAUGCGUAGAUAUUAGGAGGAACACCAGUGGCGAAGGCGGCCUGCUGGACGGUGACUGACGCUGAGGCUCGAAAGCGUGGGGAGCAAACAGGAUUAGAUACCCCUGUA
rnacentral:rRNA from 1 species